CUGACAUAAGUGUGAUCACAACAAACGCGAGCUGGCUCCUCUCUCUCAGGUUCGAACCAAGGCGCCUCUAUAUAUACCAGGUGAAACAAUCAUAUGAAAUGCACUUUCAACCAUAUUGGAAUUGCUGUCGGUAUUGUUUAUAAACAGCAUCAGAACGCUGCCGGCGGCUCUCUACAAACGGCUACGACGCUUAUUCGAACAAUGCCUACUAUGUUCGGCUUUCGCGAAUUUAUGUGAAAAAGAAGGGAUGAUUUUGUAGAAUUUCAUUCUCAUUUCCACUACUGCAUGUGAAAAUGCAAAAAUGGUGUAUCCUACACCCAGAAGACGUAUUACUAAAAUAAAGUACCAAAUCUUUGGUAAGCCAAACAUUAGUAGAAUGUACAAAUUAUCUGUAAAUAUUACCGACCGAUAGUAAAAUAAAUGUCAGAUGCAAUACACAUCCUUACCAACGAUUGGUACAUUUUACUGUGAGUUAUUGGUAACUCAGACAAUUGUCAUCCUUGGCAACCGCGAAAACUAUUUGUUAUUAUUUCAAUUUUCGCCGUGCUGAUAACAACAAUUAAGGUUUUUACAUAUGGUUUACCUAAUCGCGCAGAGCGCAGAGAAACCGAUUUACAGUGGUGAUACAUUGCAACCCACCAGUGGAGGUGGUGGUAUCGUACUGGGGAUAACCGGCGAAGAUGGUGAUAACUCAGCCGAUAAACACCUGCAUGAUUUGGUGGACCAUUAUUUUUCUAAGCUGGUUAAAUGUGAUAAAUGUCAGCAAUACUUGCGGUGGUUGAUACAUCAGGGAACGCUAUGCAAGCAGUGUAAUCACAUAGUGCAUCAGCAGUGCUCGGCCACGGUACUUGAACCGUGGCAGUCGGACGAUAACGUUGACCAGCCGUAGUCAGCAGGUCUUUGGGCUUGGUCUUUGCUAGCGCCGCAGAUUGUUAUAAUACUUUGCAACGAGCUCAAACAGAAAGCGAUGUGUAACUUGAACCUGGAUCUGUAUAAGCUGUAUCGGACGACGUCAUCGAACCACGACGAGGUUAACAAACUGCGUGACUCACUCAACGAAAAUCUAAUCAACACCGAUCUGGGCAGCUACUAACUGGAGUGUGUAGCCACGGUGCUAAAGAAGUUCUUACGAGGGCUGCCCGAUCCGAUCAUUCCGGUUAUGUUUUACGACAAAUUCGUCGUAAGCCUCAAUGAUGCGUAGCAAUCCGUUUGCAUAUCCAGGAUCUGCCAAUUUACCACAACGCUCAAGUAUAUCAUGAUACAUCUGAUGCGUAUAUGCCAAAUGCAUACCAGCGGGAACUGAGAGAGAAACCGACAAUACUUAUACAAGUGUGGUGCCAUAUUCUAAUGUGUCCUUCUAGGGAGAAAAUUUUUCAAAUCGUGUACAACACGGAAAACCACUUGCAAAUAAUGGAACUGUUGCUCUAUAAGCUGGACUGGAACAAAAAAAUACCAGAAUUUCUGUCUGCUCCUGCGGUACCACAACGGAAAAUAUCCCGAAGUGCGGUUGUGCUACAGCAGCAGCAACAACAAAUACCCGGUUCAUCCACUGUUUUAUCAGCAGCAUAGGCUGCUUCAAAAAGCCUGCAUUCAUUGAGGUGAUGAUGUUGCUUCACCUGUUAUACAAUAAUAUAAGCGCCUUGGUUCGAACCAAGGCGCUUAUAUAAAUGUAUAACAGGUGAAGCAACACCAUCACUUUAAGAAGAAGGGAAUCACGGUUUGUGGAGCGGGGGUUGUUUGUUUUGUUAUUGCUAGGAUACGCCAUUUUUGCAUUUUCACAUGCGAGAGUAGUGGAUGAACUGGAUAAGAAUGAAAUUCUACAAAAUCAUCCCUUAUUUUUCACAUAAAUUUGCGAAAGCCGAACAUAGGCAUCGUUCGAAUAAGCGUCGUAGCAGUUUGAAGAGGGCCGCUGGCAGCUUUUUGUAAACAAUACCGACAGCAAUUCCAAUAUGGCUGAAGGUGCAUUUCAUAUGAUUGUUUCACCUGGUAUAUAUAGAGGCGCCUUGGUUCGUGUAGAGGGUCACUCCGGUCUGCGAUUAAUAAAACACCGUUUUGU